CAGCUCGAGUUUCUCUUCAUUUGCGCAUAAAUCUUUUGUCUUUUACUAAAGAUUUCCGUGAAAAGGAACAUUUGUGUGUUUUUGGUAUUUUUCGGGUGCUCUGCGCACAUCAGAGCU